UCAUCGGAUGAAGUUCAUCAAUGUGCCUUUCAUGUAUGCUCAAGAAUCUGAAAUCAUUAUACUAGCUCCCAGAUAGACAUUACCAAUAUAUCACAUAUUCAUAAUAUAUGAUUGUUUUACGAUCAAUGUUGAAUAAUCCGAAAUCCCCAAUAUUUUUGGGGAUGAAGUUCAUAAAUGCAUCAUUCAU